rnacentral:rRNA from 1 species
UACGUAGGGUGCGAGCGUUGUCCGGAUUUACUGGGCGUAAAGCGCGCGCAGGCGGCACUUCAAGUAAGGUGUGAAAUCUCCCUGCUCAACGGGGAGGGUGCACUUUAGACUGAGGAGCUAGAGGACGGUAGAGGGGGGGUGGAAUUGCUGGUGUAGCGGUGAAAUGCGUAGAGAUCAGCAGGAACACCCGUGGCGAAGGCGGCCCCCUGGGCCGUACCUGACGCUGAGGCGCGAAGGCUAGGGGAGCGAACGGG